CUUAAUUAUUCCCCUCUCCUCCUUUAACUUCCGAGGGGUUCCUCUGAGUUGCGUGAUUGGAAAAGAAAGGAAAAGCGAUCAAUCGAAAGAGAGAAGAAGGGAAAGAAAAGCAAAAGAGAAAUCGUGUUCCAAGUAAAAGGAAAAGCUGUUUGGCUUGGAAUGGCGCAUCAACAAUACAAACCAUGGAUCCAGGAUGCAGUACCUUUGUUAGUGGUUAUUCUAAUAGCAGCUCAUGUCCUCGCCAUGGUAUAUUGGAUUUAUAGAUUAGCCACCCAGAAACAAACGCGCCAGAGGAGAAAGGCUCACUGAACAACAAGCUUCGUCAAUCGCCAUUACUAUUGGUGAACCCUAAUUUUCCUACUUAGCAAAUUUUUACCCUAAUCUUCAUUUUUAUAGUUGUUGAUUGUUAAUGAUUUCAUAAUUUACACUUUUUAAUUAGUCCCUUUGUGCAAUUUUAAUUUAUUGUCUCGUGUAGAGUACGCUGUCAAUUUAGCAAAAUUAUUGAUUUCUUCCCGUGUGUGUGAUGUAUAUUUCUGCGGUUUGAUUUCUCAUACACAAAUAAUUUAAUAAAAAACUAGUGUGUUUUUCUUA